GACGAACGCUGGCGGCGUGCUUAACACAUGCAAGUCGAACGGAAAGGCCCUGCUUUUGUGGGGUGCUCGAGUGGCGAACGGGGGAGUAACACGUGAGUAACCUGCCCUUGACUUUGGGAUAACUUCAGGAAACUGGGGCUAUUACCGGAUAGGAGCUCCUGCUGCAUGGUGGUGGUUGGAAAAUUUCGGCGGUUGGGGCUGGACUCGCGGCUUAUCAGCUUGUUGGUGGGGUAGUGGCUUACCAAGGCUUUGACGGGUAGCCGGCCUGAGAGGGUGACCGGCCACAUGGGGACUGAGAGACGGCCCAGACUCCUACGGGAGGCAGCGGGGGGGAAUAUUGCACAAUGGGCGGGAGCCUGAGGCAGCGACGCCGCGUGCGGGAUGACCGCCUUCGGGUUGUAAACCGCUUUCGCCUGUGACGAAGCGUGAGUGACGGUAAUGGGUAAAGAAGCACCGGCUAACUACGUG
rnacentral:rRNA from 1 species